UUGCUUCAGGAGCAAAUACAGUAAAAUUGGAACAAUAUAGAGAAGCUUAGCACGGCCAAUGAACAAGGAUGACAUGCAAAUUCAUGAAGUGUUCCAUAUUUUU